AACUUUGCGCAGUGGCGAUAUCGUAACCAAUGAAGUUCUACUGAGGUGCGAUUAUUGCUAAUUGAAAACUUUUACCAAUACCCCGCCUUGUGGACGUGAAAUACCGUCCGCUCUGGCAAUUUUUGAAGGCCCUAAUGAGGG
rnacentral:snRNA from 1 species